UACAGAGACCUCAAGCGUUAUCCGGAUUUAUUGGGCGUAAAGGGUCCGCAGGUGGCUUUGCGCGUCAUUGGUUAAAUCUGAAGGCUCAACCUUCAGGCUGCUGGUGAUACGGCAAAGCUCGAGCAUGGGAGAGGUAAGCGGAAUUACAGGUGUAGCGGUAAAAUGCGUUAAUAUCUGUAGGAACACCAAAUGCGAAGGCAGCUUACUGGAACAUUGCUGACACUCAGGGACGAAAGCGUGGGGAGCGAAAGGG
rnacentral:misc_RNA from 1 species